AACGAACGCCGGCGGCAGGCCUAACACAUGCAAGUCGAACGCUCCGAGCAAUCGGGGAGUGGCAGACGGGUGAGUAACGCGUGGAAUCUACCUAGUGGUGCGGGACAACUGAUGGAAACGUCAGCCAAUACCGCAUGAGCCCUUCGGGGGAAAGAUUUAUCGCCAUUAGAUGAGCCCGCGUCGGAUUAGCUGGUUGAUGAGGUGAAAGCUCACCAAGGCGACGAUCCGUAGCUGGUCUGAGAGGACGAUCAGCCACACUGGGGCUGAGACACGGCUCAGACUCCUACGGGAGGCAGCAGUGGGGAAUAUUGGACAAUGGGCGCAAGCCUGAUCCAGCCAUGCCGCGUGAGUGAUGAAGGUCUUAGGAUUGUAAAGCUCUUUCACCGGUGAAGAUAAUGACGGUAACCGGAGAAGAAGCCCCGGCUAACUUCGUGCCAGCAGCCGCGGUAAUACGAAGGGGGCUAGCGUUGUUCGGAUUUACUGGGCGUAAAGCGCACGUAGGCGGACUAUUAAGUCAGGGGUGAAAUCCCGGGGCUCAACCCCGGAACUGCCUUUGAUACUGGUAGUCUUGAGUUCGAGAGAGGUGAGUGGAAUUCCGAGUGUAGAGGUGAAAUUCGUAGAUAUUUCGGAGGAACACCAGUGGCGAAGGCGGCUCACUGGCUCGAUACUGACGCUGGGGUGCGAAAGCGUGGGGGAGCAAACAGGAUUAGAUACCCUGGUAGUCCCGCCCGUAAACCUAUGAGAAGCUAGCCGUCGCGUUAUUAUACAGUUCCGGUGGCGCAGUAAACCAUUAAGCUCUCCGCCCUGGGGAAGACGGUCGCAAGAUUAAUACUCCAUGAAUCG
rnacentral:rRNA from 1 species